GCAGCAUUUUCUAGCUUGCUAGAAAGAUGGCGAGUGGCGGACGGGUGAGUAACGCGUAGGAAUAUACCUCAAAGAGGGGGAUAACUUGGGGAAACUCAAGCUAAUACCGCAUAAGCUCUGAGGAGUGAAGCUGGGGACCUUUUGACCUGGCGCUUUGAGAAUAGCCUGCGUACGAUUAGCUAGUUGGUGGGGUAAAGGCCUACCAAGGCGACGAUCGUUAGCUGGUUUGAGAGAAUGGCCAGCCACACUGGAACUGAGACACGGUCCAGACUCCUACGGGAGGCAGCAGUGGGGAAUAUUGGACAAUGGGGGGAACCCUGAUCCAGCAAUGCCGCGUGUGUGAAGAAGGCCUGAGGGUUGUAAAGCACUUUCAGUGGGGAGGAGGACUUGGAGGUUAAGAGCUAUCAAGUUGGACGUUACCCACAGAAGAAGCACCGGCUAACUCCGUGCCAGCGGCCGCGGUAAUACGGAGGGUGCAAGCGUUAAUCGGAAUUACUGGGCGUAAAGGGUGCGUAGGUGGUUGUAUAAGUUAGCUGUGAAAUACCUGGGCUCAACCUGGGCAGGUCAGCUAAGACUGUAUGACUCGAGUAUAGGAGAGGGUAGUGGAAUUUCCGGUGUAGCGGUGAAAUGCGUAGAGAUCGGAAGGAACACCAGUGGCGAAGGCGGCUACCUGGCCUAAUACUGACACUGAGGCACGAAAGCGUGGGGAGCAAAC
rnacentral:rRNA from 1 species